GACGAACGCUGGCGGCGUGCUUAACACAUGCAAGUCGAACGGAAAGGCCCUGCUUGCAGGGUACUCGAGUGGCGAACGGGUGAGUAACACGUGGGUGAUCUGCCCUGCACUUCGGGAUAAGCCUGGUAAACUGGGUCUAAUACCGGAUAGGAGCCAUUUUUAGUGUGAUGGUUGGAAAGUUUUUUCGGUGUAGGAUGAGCUCGCGGCCUAUCAGCUUGUUGGUGGGGUAAUGGCCUACCAAGGCGGCGACGGGUAGCCGGCCUGAGAGGGUGGACGGCCACAUUGGGACUGAGAUACGGCCCAGACUCCUACGGGAGGCAGCAGUGGGGAAUAUUGCACAAUGGGCGCAAGCCUGAUGCAGCGACGCCGCGGGGGGGAUGACGGCCUUCGGGUUGUAAACUCCUUUCGCUAGGGACGAAGCUUUUUGUGACGGUACCUAGAUAAGAAGCACCGGCUAACUACGUG
rnacentral:rRNA from 1 species